UACGUAGGGUGCGAGUGUUGUCCGGAAUUAUUGGGCGUAAAGAGCUCGUAGGCGGUGUGUCACGUCGGCCGUGAAAACCUGCAGCUUAACUGUGGGCGUGCGGUCGAUACGGGCAUCACUGGAGUUCGGCAGGGGAGACUGGAAUUCCUGGUGUAGCGGUGAAAUGCGCAGAUAUCAGGAGGAACACCGGUGGCGAAGGCGGAUCUCUGGGCCUUACCUGACGCUGAGGCGCGAAAGCUAGGGGAGCGAACAGG
rnacentral:rRNA from 1 species